AGCAGAAGUGGGUCAACAACAGCCUUGAGAGAGACUUCUGACUCAUGUGAACAUAUGUGUGUGACGUCAGCAGGGUUACAGCGUUGACAAGGUUAUUUUCAUUCAAUGUUAUUCGCUUGUGCUCAUCAGUUCUUGGCAGUGAACACAGAAGUGCAGACGCCGUGUCCUUUCACUUACCAGCUGCGCUUUGUCAAACCUGCCAUCCGCUCGGCUGCUCGCACUGGACACGAUUAAAGACAUUCAAGAUAUAUAUUCGCUAAAAACAACACACACUGAAUGCAUCUAGUUUUAAGCACUAUAUUACUGAAAACAGUGCAUAUACAAACACAUAAGUUUCAUAUUUUAAGCACAAAAACAUUCUUUCCAAUGAUGCAGAACAUUAACAUAAAUUCUGUGCUGUUUUCCUCUGUAGGGUUGAAGUUAAAGUCCCGGAGCAUCUCAUCAUACAGAAGAACAACAGAAGAUGUGGCCGUCGAGUGCAGAAGAACAUGUGUCUGUCCCCGACUGAUCCAUACUCGGGCAUUCUCACUACCGGCGUUACCGUAG
rnacentral:lncRNA from 1 species